rnacentral:rRNA from 1 species
CUUGCUCCUUGGGUGACGAGUGGCGGACGGGUGAGUAAUGUCUGGGAAACUGCCCGAUGGAGGGGGAUAACUACUGGAAACGGUAGCUAAUACCGCAUAACGUCGCAAGACCAAAGAGGGGGACCUUCGGGCCUCUUGCCAUCGGAUGUGCCCAGAUGGGAUUAGCUAGUAGGUGGGGUAACGGCUCACCUAGGCGACGAUCCCUAGCUGGUCUGAGAGGAUGACCAGCCACACUGGAACUGAGACACGGUCCAGACUCCUACGGGAGGCAGCAGUGGGGAAUAUUGCACAAUGGGCGCAAGCCUGAUGCAGCCAUGCCGCGUGUAUGAAGAAGGCCUUCGGGUUGUAAAGUACUUUCAGCGAGGAGGAAGGUGUUGAGGUUAAUAACCUCAGCGAUUGACGUUACUCGCAGAAGAAGCACCGGCUAACUCCGUGCCAGCAGCCGCGGUAAUACGGAGGGUGCAAGCGUUAAUCGGAAUUACUGGGCGUAAAGCGCACGCAGGCGGUCUGUCAAGUCGGAUGUGAAAUCCCCGGGCUCAACCUGGGAACUGCAUCCGAAACUGGCAGGCUAGAGUCUUGUA